AGUGUUAUGCUUGUUGAAUUUUCUCUCUCUUUUUAUUCAAAUCAAGUUUUUGUUGGGGUGGACUUGUCCUUUAAGUUCAACUAAUACACAUUGAGUGUACAUUGCUAUUCAGAAAUCGCAUUACAAAGAUCAGAUAAAGAUGUCUAUACAUGUACAAAAAUUAUACACAUCAGUGGGUCAAAUAAACAUCUAUACUACAAGUAUCUGAAAGAGCAUGACAUUAGUGCUAAGGCAGCGUGUGAUGAGAGUGACAGAUGUACAUGAAUCUACCUGGGAAUUUUCAACCUCGUCCAUUCAUGGUCCAAAGUUGUUUUCAUCAAUCUUUGGGAUUUAAUUUAAAAAUCUAUCUUUGUAUUAAACACCCUCAUGUUAUGUUAGAGACAAAAACCAAAAGUCAUUGUGGAAGUGCCUGGAUAUGAAAUAUUCUCUUCACCUUAUUUGACAUUAUGAACCCCAUGACAAUUUUGCUGUCUCUCUUGGUCUUACCUAACAUCACUUUUAACCCCAGAAUUUUGGAGAUUUAUGUACUUUUAUCUGCACUCCAUCUCAUUACAAUAAAAUUUAGCAACGUCCACAGUGGUACUUAAAUCUCAGAAGCUCAUGACAUACAAACGGGCGAGAAAGUCAAGGAGCGAGUGAACGCAUCUUUGAUUAUUUACAAUGGACUUGUAUGACUCCCUGAUAUCACCCCACAAAAUAUCAUUAGAAAAGCCAAGUUAUUAUUUGGUAUUGUGCAAAUUAAAAAAAGCUAGGAAUUAGGACAUAUACACAAUUAUAUGAUCAGAGAAGUACAGCAGCAUAUUUCAAGCAAGAUGCGCAACAUUUCAGCUGAAUCAGUGUAAGCAGAUAACAAGCUAACUUCUGCUGAUUUAAAAUAGAAACAUUCAAAUCAAUGCAAGGAAAUAUGCAGAAAUUGCAGCUGCAUGAAUCUUGGUAUUCAUUCUAUAAAUGCAACAAAUUUCAAAUACGAGAUGUGCGCAAUAUAAAUGCUGUAGAUCAUCAUCAAUCAGAUGGUGCCUCACUAGCAGAAGAAAAAUGAAAACAUUUCAUUUUUAUGGAAGAUCUCUAUGUUUAUGAUUUCUCCAUCAUACAAAGUGAAAAUUAUGGUCAAAAUGUGUUUAAAGGGGCUGUAACACUGAUAUUUUAGCCAGUGAAUGCUGAUUAACUUGUGGCCAGUACCAGUAAUCCCAUUUCUUGCAAAAUGUUAACACAAAUUUCUUACAUGAAGAAUCACAUGAGUUAAUAACAAGAAAUUCUUGAUGUCAAUAAUAAAUAGAAGAACGCAGCUUGCCAUGGCCUACCCUACAUAACUUUGUCAUACACUGUCUAAAACUUUAUGGGUGUGACAGCCCCUUGAUGAAUAAUGAACAACUGUUGGCGAUCUUUCGCUUGGCACAGAAGAAGUAAUGAAAGUCAGCUGAGAAUUAAUACCCAUACAAGAAACACAGUAAAUCAGUCAUUAUGAGUGAGCACAUGAAAAAAAAAUAUAUCAGGAAUUAGGGUGGUAAAAUUUGAACUAAGGAGUCUACUUAAUACCUUGAAUUGGCUAAGCCUUGAUUUUGCAACAUGAAGAAGAUACUAAUGUUAAGAAAUCGUCAUAUUUCAUGGCUUAUUCAAAUACAGUAAAAUUAUUGGAACUGUCGGUCCGGACUUGGACAGGUUUGGGUUGCGAUUACACUAAGCUUCCAUACUUGUCGAACCAGGACAAACCCCAAGACACUCGUGAACAUCUGAGAAACAAAUUAAUAUACAUUGUAUGCAUAUAAAUGGAAUAUGCAUGUGCAAAUGUUAAAAGGAGUUCACCCUAAAGAAAAGUCUGUUGUAAAAAUAGCAGAAAAAAAAUAAUAAAAAAUAUUGAAGGUUUGAGGAAACUCAUUAAAGAUAAAGGAAGUUAUCAGAAUUUUAAUUUUUGGGUUUGUGACGUCAUAAACGAGCAGCUGCCCCAUUUAUUAUGUAAUAUAAAAUGCAUAAAUUUUUUUUUUUUAAUGGUUAGUGCCUUUAUACUUAUUGUUUUAGAAAGGGUGUCUGUCUAUUGAUAAUCUGAAGGUACAGUAAAACCAAUUUUUAAUUUUCUGAGAAAAUGACAUUUCACAGAUGUUUUGCCAAUCAAUGUGUAGGAAAGCUACCUGCAUGUGACGUCACAAAUCAAAUAAUUAAUAUUCUAAUACCAUUUUCAUUCUUUGAUGGAUUUUCCUCAAACCUUCGGAAAUAUUUUUUUCAUUAUUUUUUCUGCCAUUUUUACAGCAAACUUCUUCAGGGUUAUCUUCCCCUUGAAACAUUAAUACACGUGACUCUACCUAAGUCAAAUCUUUUAGAGACCACAGAAAUCUGUUUGACUUAAAGGAAAAAUUUGAAGACAUGUUUGAAAUAGUCUGGUCUAUCAGGCAAAUCUUUGACCUAACGAAGGUCGACUUAAUAGGCAGUUACCUGUAGUUUCUCACAGAUCCACUGAAAAAUUAUCUGAUCUCAGAUUACCAUUACAUCAUGAAAAAUACUGAUUCUGAGCACCCCAUUUUUACUGCAACGGGGCAGAACAUCAUGAAUUAUUGACAACUAGUAAUCAUUUCUUACUUAAUUUGACCCAUUUGAUGCCUGAUUGUAUACAUGUAUGACAUGUCUAUCACAGACUCAUCUUAAAUGAAAAUUCUGUAACUAAUAUUGGAUAUUUGGAUAUGUUACAAGUACAGAAGCAAAAUUGCUUUUAACACAUAUCCAAUUUCCUUGAGUGACAUUAAUUGGGGUCUUUAAUCUAGAGCACUCCAUAAUCCCCUGUUCAAUAUAAUAACAAAUUUAAGAAAGAUUAGAUAAAUAAAAAAGUAUAUACAACUCAAAAAGCACAAUUUAACACUCCAAUACUGAUUUUGUUCUAUCCUAACUCUACUAAACCAAUUCUACAAUACAACAAAUCUCUCAAAUUAAACUAUGAGUAAUCGAUACACACUUUAUUCCUACAGUAGGCACACAACAUUACAUAUCCUAUAAUUUUGGAAUGUGUGUGUCCAGAAGAAAUAUGACAAAAAUCAAACAAUUCAUGGCCAUUUUAUUGCAAUAAUAUAGCACCUUAUCUACUAUGUGAUUUUCUUCUUUGAUAAUGUUGGGAUUACCUUUGAAUACACCAUAUUUUACCAUUAAUGGAUUGUCAAUAGAGACCCUUCACUAAGCUCAACAGUCAUUAUAUUCAAAACUGAAAAAAGAGGAGUAAAGGAAUCUACGAACCCCAGAGCAGACACAAGAUUUCAUCAAAAUUAUCAAGUACUUUUGGCUUUGGCCAGUUAAUUUCAUAAUCACAAUACCAGGCCCUGGACAUUGUUAACUCCCCAAAAUCAAUGUAAAAUGAUUUUUUCCAUUUUCAGACAGAAAAACAGUAGACAGUAUUUCCACCCAACUUCAUUGCAUUUUGUUUUCUUCAGGGAAAUUUCAGUUGCACUGAAAAUUAAUUUUAACACCAAAAUUAAAUAUCAAUUUGAACCUAUGUAGUUCAGGAAUACCAGAUAGAAAUAAAAAACUCACAUAGGCCCCAAAAUACAGACCCACUCACCAAUGGCACAAGUAUAGUACAAAUCAUUUUAGAACAGGAAACCCUGCAAAAAAAAAUAGUCUGGUGUGCUUAUGCAGCGUCAUUGUGCUAUUAAAGAGAGAAGACAACUUGGCAGGAUUCAAAGGUAAUCUCCAAAAACAACACUGAGCUACAAUGCACAAUGGGAGAAAGAAACACUAAUUAAAAUACCACUACUCUCAAAGAUGGUGUAUGCUGAGAAUUGGGGAGUUGGGUAUUUCACUGUUUCAAUAAUAUUUUAAGCAGGAAAAUUACUCCUGGUUAUGGCAUGCCAUUUAUUCUGUCUUGGACAUGUUUUUCCAGACAUUAGGCUUAAAAAGGUCGUAAUUCUACAGAGUGGCCCAUACUCUGCACUCUAUGGUCUAAUCCUCAGCCCUACGAUCAAACGCUAACGGCUGUGUCUUAUACAGGGCCAUAAAGUCUCGUCCAAAGAUUUUAACAUCAUGCUACACUUUGAAUCAACCAUUUGAAGUGCCAAUUACCUUUACGAGUGACCAUGAUGCUAUAAGAUAUUUAAUGGUAGAAGCAAACAGUGUUUACAAAUGGCUUGCCAUAGUUCAGCGCAAUUUCACCGAAUAUUAUUUGUGAAAAGCAGGCAUUAAAUAGGAUAUAUUAGGUCUUCACUAUGAAACACAAAUUUGCAUGUAUCACAUAAAUCAUGGUAAAGUAGCAUGAGUGACAUCAACAGGUACAUGUACUAAAGACAGGUAUUCUCUAUUCAGAUUCCAUAUUGUGAGCAUUUACAUGGAAUGACUUGCUUGUGGCAUGUCAUGUAGGUUAUGCAAAAGAAAGACCUUGUGGUGGUUGAUUACAUAACUCUUUGGUACAAUCAAAACAUUGGCUAUUGCUCUAUCUAUCUACAAAUAGAUGGAGGUUUGCUAUACGGAGACACACUCAAUUUACAUGGUUUCAUCCAUCAUUUUUACAAGCUACCAUACGCAACUUUACCUCACCUUGCAUCAGGGUGCUUCUCUGUCAUUUGGGAUAACUCACUGACAUGCACCAUUAGUGAAUUACCGGUACCACUGAGCAGUGUCAAAAACCUAAAUGAACCAUGAAGUGGUGCCCAUAUUUCAGUGUGAGUAAUGACAUAACUCCCAAAUUUAGAAAGCUGGUGAUUUGUCACAUUACAUUUUAUAUUUCAGCAUCAAGAGAUGGCAUUCGCACCUAAUUUCUUUACAACUGACGGGGUAUAUGACCCCUAGAUAGUGCAUUAUGACAUUGCUGGCUUUUCACCGUUGAAAUUGUUUGAUUUGAUUGAUUGACCACAAAUGUGUAAGUGUAACAUCACCGGAGCACUCGACAAGUUUCAUAGCUGCACCUUUUGAUAAUUAGCUGAUAAUCAACAGCUAUUAGUGGACCCGUCCCCAAUAUGAUGAAUGAAAAUUAACAUAAACCCUUUACAAAUGCAGCUGGGCUCGUAGUAGAUACAGGGGUGGGAAUAUGCUUCCAGAUCAUAACAGAAAAACAUCAUAUAUAUAUAUAUAUAUGCCAACAUUUCGGGCAAACAUCUGCUUUGUAAUACCCAAACUAAUACUAAGUUAUAUCUAUCUCAACAGUGUUAAAUCACUCUCAGACUUGGAGUAUGAAUUCAAUUUAUUCUACAACGGUAAACACUGUAGUUUCAAAUUACAGGAUAAGCACUCCCUCACUUCUAAUGCAGAGGCCCCAUUACGCAUCAAAGCACUACUUCAUAUCAAUUCAACUCCUACUAAAACUAUAUCCUCUAUCCUCUGUGCAUUCUCCUCACAAGAGAGACUACAAAUAUAGGCAUAUGAUGGUGUCAACAAAAUUCCACUUCAACAUGAUUUACUUCCCGUGUUUAUUUCAUUAGAAAAUAAGACUAUAUACAACAGCAUGAAAGUGAGUUUACCAUUUACAUAUCAAAAAAACAGCGUAAAUUACAAAUUGUACAAUCUUUUUUUUUGUGCAGUUUCAUGUAGCUACCUGUGAUCUUCAAACACCCGGUUAAUAUCUGAAAAACAGAUGUAGGUUAUUCAUUUGUAACUUCACUUGUGAUGUACGACAUAUAUUUCAGUAUACCUCACAAAAUUUCAAACACACAAAAAAUGGUAUAAAAUAUUCUGUGUUAUGUACUGCUCAUAAUUACAGAUUUGAAUUAACAUGUACACUAGAAAUCUACACAAGGAAAGGAAGAAUUAGAUCAAAGCUAACCAACACCAGGAAUCUCAAUGUGAUUUGUUAAUCUAAAUGAUAACAUGCUUGCUACUUUAUAACAGCAGUGAAUGCGCUCUAACCAAAAUGAAAGAAAGGGAAACAUGAAUAUCUACGCUUAAAAUGUUUUUAAGUAUAUAGCUGAAAAUCAAGGUAUUGAAUAUUGCUUUUUCAAAAAAAAAAUGCAUAAAUUAAUAUCUCUAUGGCAACUUGAACUUUGUGCCCUUAGUUAUUGUGAGUAGAAAAGAGCAGCCAGUUACGAUUAAAUAGUAUCAUUCUUGCCCUAGUAUAUGUACACAGGUGCACUAGUAGGAGUGAUGUAUAUAUAAAGCUGAAUUUGCCAAAGUUACGAAUAUUGAAUAAAGUUCUUGUUAGAACAGAAAAAACAAAUAAGCAUGUAUUGCAUAAAUUAUAUGUGAUUUGGACUCAACCAUUUGAUAUAAGCUAUGAGAUACAAAUGGUAAAUUGCUUUGAUGGCAUACAUAAUAACUAUGAAGUUGAUGAAACAAUAAGUUAAUACCUUUAAGGUGGCUUAGACUAAUAAAAGGGUUUGUGGAGUGCUACAUAUCACUCUCUUUACUCACAAUUUUUAUUAUGUAACUAUCAGAUCAAAAGUCCUAUUCUACUUGGAAUUCAUAUGGAUUAUUUUGUACUUUAAAAUUUGUGAUACAAAAUCAAUGGAUUGUAAAAUUGGGGAGCAGAGCACUUUGCAUUCCAGAGGUGGAGUAAGUUCAUCUGGGGCCCUUUUCAUAAAGGACUUAUUACCGUUGUGACUAUACCCUUAAGGUUACUACCAUGGUAAAAGGGUUCAGCAGCCAAACCACAAUCAAGGUUUCCAUGGUAGCUGUCAUGAUUGCAUAGUUACCAAAGUUGUAACUCAUUAUGAAAUGGGCCCCAGAAAUAAAUUUCCAUUCAAGAUGAAGCCAUAAAAGCUAGAGUCCAUAACAAAAUCUAUUCCCAUAAAAAAAAUCAUAAAACACGAUUUUUUUAGCAAAACUCAACACUUACAUUGUUUCAGUAAUGUACCAAGCUGAAAGGCGAACUCCCACUCAAAUUGAUUUUACAAUUUUCAUCAUCAUCUAGGUAAUCUCCAUUCAUUAUUGCUACGGUCACAAAUACCUUUACGAACACCAUGCAAACAAUUUCAUACCAUUUAUUGCUAU